UAAUACGGAGGGUGCAAGCGUUAUCCGGAUUCAUUGGGUUUAAAGGGUGCGUAGGCGGAAUUUUAAGUCAGUGGUGAAAGCCUGCAGCUUAACUGUAGAAUUGCCAUUGAUACUAUUGUUCUUGAGUGAAGUUGAAGUGGGCGGAAUGUGUCAUGUAGCGGUGAAAUGCAUAGAGAUGACACGGAACACCGAUAGCGAAGGCAGCUCACUAAGCUUUAACUGACGCUGAGGCACGAAAGCGUGGGGAGCGAACAGGAUUAGAUACCCUGGUAGUCCACGCCGUAAACGAUGAUUACUCGAUGUGUGCGAUAUACAGUACGCGUCCAAGCGAAAGCGUUAAGUAAUCCACCUGGGGAGUACGUUCGCAAGAAUG
rnacentral:rRNA from 1 species